GCAAGUCGAACGGUAACAGGAAGUGCUUGCACUUCGCUGACGAGUGGCGGACGGGUGAGUAAUGCUUGGGAACUUGCCUUUGCGAGGGGGAUAACAGUUGGAAACGACUGCUAAUACCGCAUAAUGUCUACGGACCAAACGGGGCUUCGGCUCCGGCGCAAAGAGAGGCCCAAGUGAGAUUAGCUAGUUGGUAAGGUAAAGGCUUACCAAGGCAACGAUCUCUAGCUGUUCUGAGAGGAAGAUCAGCCACACUGGAACUGAGACACGGUCCAGACUCCUACGGGAGGCAGCAGUGGGGAAUAUUGCACAAUGGGGGAAACCCUGAUGCAGCCAUGCCGCGUGUGUGAAGAAGGCCUUCGGGUUGUAAAGCACUUUCAGUUGUGAGGAAAAGUUAGUAGUUAAUACCUGCUAGCCGUGACGUUAACAACAGAAGAAGCACCGGCUAACUCCGUGCCAGCAGCCGCGGUAAUACGGAGGGUGCGAGCGUUAAUCGGAAUUACUGGGCGUAAAGCGUACGCAGGCGGUUUGUUAAGCGAGAUGUGAAAGCCCCGGGCUCAACCUGGGAACUGCAUUUCGAACUGGCAAACUAGAGUGUGAUAGAGGGUGGUAGAAUUUCAGGUGUAGCGGUGAAAUGCGUAGAGAUCUGAAGG
rnacentral:rRNA from 1 species